GGUGGCUCAGCGGCAGAGCGCUGGCCUCGCAUGCCUGAGGCCCUGGGUUCGAUUCCCCAGCACCA
rnacentral:tRNA from 1 species